CCUCUUUCCAUCGUGUAAUGCUUCGUGAAUAGUUUCAUUAUGCGAGCCCAUCUCUCGUAUUAUUCCUAGUUCCUGAAUCUCCACUUUUCGUUUUUAUUUUCCCAGUAUACCUUCCCAUGUCACAGGACGUCUCAGCUCUGGACAGCAUCAGCGCACUACAACACCAUGUUUUGGGGAUACCUUCAACCCACGUGGAAAGUCGCCAUUAUUUACUGUGGUUCUCAUCAUGAAGAAUUACACGGUUUUCAAGAAUACCGUUUUUUAAUUGGAUCAAGGUUUUAUUUCACUGAUUUGGGGUCAAAAUCAAAUAAUAACUCGCCGACAACCUCUCUGUUCAUAUUUUCAGGAGACAAUGUAUAUUUAUAUAAAUAAAAUUGAAAUUCUUCGUAUUUUAUUAUUUUUUUGUACAAAUAAUGUUCCGGAAUCGUCAGAAUUACUUCUCAGUAACCCUGAUCGCGGGCAGACGAGAUGACAUUACUUAAAUUUGUAUAUAUUUUAUGUUUAUUCGUAUUUACACAUGUAAGGUAAUACUGCCCAGUAUUGUAAUUUCAAGUUUGAAUGGAUAAGAAUUUUUUACAGUUGCGAAGUCUCACUUCUUCCGUUGGGACUCCACGCACAAUUUUUUUUUAACGGCACCCACUGCUUUAAAUUUUAAAAUAAAUAAACAAAUACACAUAUAUAUAUA